AUGCUGGAGGUAUCAGAAGUGCGAAUGCUGACAUAAGUAACGAUAAAGCGGGUGAAAAGCCCGCUCGCCGGAAGACCAAGGGUUCCUGUCCAACGUUAAUCGGGGCAGGGUGAGUCGACCCCUAAGGCGAGGCCGAAAGGCGUAGUCGAUGGGAAACAGGUUAAUAUUCCUGUACUUGGUGUUACUGCGAAGGGGGGACGGAGAAGGCUAUGUUGGCCGGGCGACGGUUGUCCCGGUUUAAGCGUGUAGGCUGGUUUUCCAGGCAAAUCCGGAAAAUCAAGGCUGAGGCGUGAUGACGAGGCACUACGGUGCUGAAGCAACAAAUGCCCUGCUUCCAGGAAAAGCCUCUAAGCAUCAGGUAACAUCAAAUCGUACCCCAAACCGACACAGGUGGUCAGGUAGAGAAUACCAAGGCGCUUGAGAGAACUCGGGUGAAGGAACUAGGCAAAAUGGUGCCGUAACUUCGGGAGAAGGCACGCUGAUAUGUAGGUGAAGUCCCUCGCGGAUGGAGCUGAAAUCAGUCGAAGAUACCAGCUGGCUGCAACUGUUUAUUAAAAACACAGCACUGUGCAAACACGAAAGUGGACGUAUACGGUGUGACGCCUGCCCGGUGCCGGAAGGUUAAUUGAUGGGGUUAGCCGCAAGGCGAAGCUCUUGAUCGAAGCCCCGGUAAACGGCGGCCGUAACUAUAACGGUCCUAAGGUAGCGAAAUUCCUUGUCGGGUAAGUUCCGACCUGCACGAAUGGCGUAAUGAUGGCCAGGCUGUCUCCACCCGAGACUCAGUGAAAUUGAACUCGCUGUGAAGAUGCAGUGUACCCGCGGCAAGACGGAAAGACCCCGUGAACCUUUACUAUAGCUUGACACUGAACAUUGAGCCUUGAUGUGUAGGAUAGGUGGGAGGCUUUGAAGUGUGGACGCCAGUCUGCAUGGAGCCGACCUUGAAAUACCACCCUUUAAUGUUUGAUGUUCUAACGUUGACCCGUAAUCCGGGUUGCGGACAGUGUCUGGUGGGUAGUUUGACUGGGGCGGUCUCCUCCUAAAGAGUAACGGAGGAGCACGAAGGUUGGCUAAUCCUGGUCGGACAUCAGGAGGUUAGUGCAAUGGCAUAAGCCAGCUUGACUGCGAGCGUGACGGCGCGAGCAGGUGCGAAAGCAGGUCAUAGUGAUCCGGUGGUUCUGAAUGGAAGGGCCAUCGCUCAACGGAUAAAAGGUACUCCGGGGAUAACAGGCUGAUACCGCCCAAGAGUUCAUAUCGACGGCGGUGUUUGGCACCUCGAUGUCGGCUCAUCACAUCCUGGGGCUGAAGUAGGUCCCAAGGGUAUGGCUGUUCGCCAUUUAAAGUGGUACGCGAGCUGGGUUUAGAACGUCGUGAGACAGUUCGGUCCCUAUCUGCCGUGGGCGCUGGAGAACUGAGGGGGGGCUGCUCCUAGUACGAGAGGACCGGAGUGGACGCAUCACUGGUGUUCGGGUUGUCAUGCCAAUGGCACUGCCCGGUAGCUAAAUGCGGAAGAGAUAAGUGCUGAAAGCAUCUAAGCACGAAACUUGCCCCGAGAUGAGUUCUCCCUGACUCCUUGAGAGUCCUGAAGGAACGUUGAAGACGACGACGUUGAUAGGCCGGGUGUGUAAGCGCAGCGAUGCGUUGAGCUAACCGGUACUAAUGAACCGUGAGGCUUAACCUU
rnacentral:rRNA from 1 species